UGUUUAUAAUUAUGCUGUAAGGCUUGAAGCAUUUUCCUCUCUCUCUCUCUCCAACAACUUGCAUAUAGCAAGCUGUAUAUAACCAUAUUCAUGUUAUGUAACUGUUAUCACUGAUCCAAUGGAAACAGAAGUGCCUAAAGGGCAGGGUUGAGUGAAUUCUUACAAAGAGUGUAAUUUCUUGCAUAGUCUGAAUUAACAUCCAAAGUCCCUAUUCAUCUUCUUUCUGGUGAAGAGGAAUGGCUGUGUCUGUUGUGUCCGGUGUGGUGACAAGCCUUGGUGACUUGCUCCUACAAGAAGCAAUAUACUUGAUCGAUGUGAGUGACAAAGCUCAUGAGUUACAAACAGAGCUUAUACGGAUGCAAUUCUUUUUGAAAGAUGCAGAUGCGAAGCAGAAUGAAUCAGCGUUUAUAAAGAAUGGCGUUGCAGAAAUGAAAGAUCUUGCUUAUGACGCAGAAGAUGUCAUUGCGACUUAUGCCCUCACAGUUGCAUCCAGAAAGGGAAGAGGCAUACAAAAGGUCCUAAAGAGGUGUGCUUGCAUCUUGGAUGAAGGAAUUACGGUGCACCAGGUUGGGGCAAAGAUUGAUGCUAUCAAGAAGAGAAUUUCUAAUUUGAAACAGAGUUUUCAAGAAUAUGGCAUAAUAAGAGAAUCAACAAUGCAAGCAGGCGGGCCGAGUUCUUUGAAUGAGAGGGAACGAGAGCAAAGGCAAACAUUUUCUCAUCUUCAACAUGAAGUUGUUGGGUUCGACAAUAAUCUAAAUGAAUUGAUGGAGUUUUUGCUGAAAGAAGAGGAAGGCAAAAGAGUUGCUUCAAUAUGUGGUAUGGGUGGUCUGGGAAAGACCACUCUUGCCAAAAUGGUUUAUAACGACCCCAAAGUCAAGCUGCACUUUGAACACCGUGCUUGGGCAUGUAUCUCACAACAAUGUCAAAGAAGACUUGUUUGGGAAGAUAUUCUGAUUAGCCUUCGCUCUGCAGAUGAAAAAGAAAAGAAAAGAAUUCGAAAGUUAACUGUUAAAGAGAUUGUUGAGGAACUUUGCGAAGUUCAGAAGAAGCGUAAGUGUUUGGUGAUUUUAGAUGAUAUUUGGGACGUUGAGACUUGGAACCAUCUACUUGGAGCCUUCUCAGGGAAUGAUACUAAAAGUAAAAUUUUGCUUACCUCUCGCAAUGAAAAAGUGCAUCUACAUGUAGAUCCUGGAGGUUUCCUUUAUAAAUUGCAGCAUCUAGAUGAAACAAGGAGUUUGGAAUUGCUUGAGAAGAUAGCAAUAUCUCGAAGAGAAGACUCUAUGGCCAAAACUUGUAUGAAGCAGUUUGGAAAGGAAAUGAUUGAUUAUUGUGGGGGUUUACCUUUGGCCAUCACUGUACUUGGAGGUCUUUUAGCAACAAAGCAAACUUUGGGAGAAUGGCAGGACGUGCUUAAACAUGCCAAAUCAUACCUUCAUGUGGAAGACUCACGAGUCAACAAUGUGUUAGCUUUAAGUUAUAAUGAUUUACCUUCACACUUGAAACCGUGCUUUCUAUAUUUAGGUCAUUUCCCUGAGGAUUUUGAGAUACAAACAAAAAAAUUGAUUCGAAUGUGGAUGGGUGAAGGUUUUAUAUCACAAAUUCAGCACAGAGGAGGAAGAGAAGAUACAAUGGACGAUGUUGGAGAUCGAUAUUUAAGGGAGCUAGUGCAGAGGUGCAUGGUUCUGGUGGGGAAAGAGGGCUCACUUGGAAGGAUCAAAACUUGCCGAAUGCAUGAUCUUAUGAGAGACUUUUGCGUAUCAAAAGCCCAAGAUGAAAAUUUUCUCCAUUUCACCAAUACUCUUUCCAUGAAACAACGUGAAGUACAAGUUGGUAAAGUUCGAAGACUUGCUAUAAUAUCGGAAUCAGGUGAUAAUUCCAUCAAGCGAAUUAAAUUUAAUGAAUAUCCUUACCUCAGGUCUCUUCUCUACCUUCUGCCUCCGAGUGAUAAAUCUGUUUUUAAUGAGUCAUGUUUCAAAAAAUUCAAGUUGGUUAGAGUCUUACAUCUAGAAUAUUUUAUUAAACACCCAAAAAAAUUACCUAAAGACAUUGGAUGUCUCAUCCACCUGAGAUAUUUAUCUCUGAGAGGAAGCAAUAUAAAUGAGGUGCCAUCGUCUAUUGGCAAUUUGAGAUGCUUGGAGACACUAGAUUUGCGGAUCCGUUACUUCACUGUCCCAUGUAUGCACUUAUAUACGAGAGUGCCAAAUGUGUUCAAGUAUAUGAAACAGUUGAAGCAUCUUUAUUUACCCUACGAAUAUUGGGUAUGUGGUAAGUUGGAAUUGGCUAAUCUUUCUUAUUUGCACACAUUAGUCAAUGUCCAGCCCACUACCAUCCAAAUUCCCACAUGGUUUAAACUCAACCGUCUUCGGGUUCUUAAAGUGAGGAAUAAAUAUAAUAAAUGGGCCCCAGUUGCAAUGCAAAUGCUAAUAUCAAGGUGUCCGCUUAUAGAAAAGCUAAAUUUAAAUUACCGUAUAAAGAAGCUUCCAGAAGCUCACCAAUUCUCUCCAAAUCUUGCCAAGUUGACCUUAUGGAAGACUUCUCUUGAGGAAGAUCCCAUGCCAACCUUAGAGAAGUUGCCCAAUUUAAAAAUCCUCCGCCUCUUACCUCCCUCUUUCGUAAGGAAGGAUAUGGUUUGUUCUAAAGGAGGAUUUCCUUUGCUUCAGUAUCUUCUCCUUGUAAAUGUGAGGUACUUAGAGGAGUGGAGGGUGGAGGAAGGGGCCAUGCCCAGUCUUAGCCAUUUGACAAUUAGCUAUUGCUACGAGUUGAAGACUAUUCCAGAUGGAAUGAGGUUCGUCACCACCCUCCGAGAAUUGGAGAUUCGGGGCAUGCGAAAGUCAUUCAAAGAUAGGCUUGGCGAAGGAGGACCGGAUUUUGACAAAGUCCAACAUGUGCCUUCCCUUGUAUUUGAUGACUGUGACAGAGAUUGAUAAUCAGGUCUCUUUGAACCUACAACCUCUCUGCUCAUUAUAUUACAGGUGAAAUUAUCCAUGGAACAAAAGUUUCUACUCUGCUUCAACUAAUGAAAAAUCAACAAAAUAUUUUCAUUGCUUUACAACUUUGUGAAAUCGUCCAUGGUGCAAAAUUUUCUACUCUGCUUCAACCCAUGAAAAUCAGCAAAAUAUUUUCACUACUUCGCAACUUGUACGGUUGAAAUCAUCCAUGGUCUGCAACUGGUACGGGUUGGUGUCUGUUAUACAAUUUGAAGAAUAUGAUUUCACAGACUCAUUAAACAUAUUCUCAAAUGCCUAUGGGUAGUGAUGUAAAGAAUUGUUUGUUUGGUGAUGUUUCUCUAUGUUGUGAUAUUUUCUUAGGUGGUUUGUUUGCAUUUGUACUGUAUUUGUUUGUGCUGCUUUCUUGUUCUGCUUUUCUGCUUUGCUAUGAUUGCAUUUUUUGUUUGUAUCUUCUGUUGAAUAAAAGAAACCAAUGUAUCAUUGGAGGAGAAAAAUAAUUCUUCAUUUAA